GUAAUAAAGAGAUUAAAUACCCUCAGGUUGCAUCUUAGUGGGACUACGGUUACCAAACAACCGCAAUGGCAAACCGCACUGUCAUUGUUGAUAACAACACAUGGAACAACACACAUAUCGCGACAGUUGGCACUGCCAUGUCAUCACCUGAAAAGGACGCGUGGCAAAUUUUCAAUUCCUUGGAUGUGAAAUACGUACUUGUCGUGUUUGGUGGAAUACAAGAUGAUGACUUGUCAACUUGUUUAAAUAUGAUAUUUCCUCUAUGGAUUUCUUGGUGUUAUUGAUAGAGGAUAAGGAAUUGGUCGAAAAUCCUAUGAUUGAUGCUUGGUUGCUGAAGAAUAGAAAAAGUCCCUGGGUUGGGAAGAAAGAAGGGUUACAGGGAUGUUGGAUCUUUUAUUGAACUCACUCCUGAUGCAUCUGAAGUGGUAAGCCAUUGUAUCUAGUAGUUUUGGAGGAAACGAGACUCAAACAAAAAGCAAACACACGGAGAGUUGUUGGCAGAUAGUAAGCUAGAUAAUGCAAUUGUAUAUUCUGCUUCUCUUGAGUUCAUUUUUUUAUAACAUUUACUCACUAUUGGAAUAAUUAUUUGUAUUUGACAUAUUAGUGAAAUGAAUUAUCUUUGUUAUUUAUGGUA